UGAAGAAAGGACGGGAGACAGAGAUACGUGGUGCAGUGAACAGAACAGCCCCAUGAUCCUGCAAGCUGACCACAAAGAAGAACUCUCAUGCUUGGAUCAAGGAAUGGAGGGGAUGAACUGAGAAGAAAUCUGCCAGGAACGACUCUCAUCUGUAAAUCUAGGAGAGAGAAAGAGGCAAAUCCAUGCAGAGCUGAGGCUGUAUCUCAUGAUCUGGAUUUCCAACUGACACAGGAGGCUCUUCAGAAUGCCAAAGUCAGUGGGCGCUGCAGUGGAUUGUGAGGACACCUGUAAUGAUAACUGGGGAGCAGGAAUCUGGAAUGGUUGCUCUGUCUUAUAGCUGUAAGCACUAGAUAUGCAUCAACUUACCUAAACUAACAGGAACCACACCAUGUCCAUACUGGUUUGAAAGUCCUAGAAUGAAAAAGUCAGCGCUUCCUUUCUUACUGCAAAGAGUCCCACACAGAACUUCCUUCUCUUCUGUAGGUUCCAGGCUGGUUCAUAUACCCUGAAUCCACUGUUCCUCUUAUUUGACCACAGGAAAACCGUUGACGUUAAAUGUAUUUGAAUACGCAUGGAGAGAAAAAUAAAACCCAAGAAUUCAUCA
rnacentral:lncRNA from 1 species